rnacentral:rRNA from 1 species
GAUCCUGGCUCAGGAUGAACGCUAGCGACAGGCCUAACACAUGCAAGUCGAGGGGCAGCACAAGGAGCAAUCUGAGGUGGCGACCGGCGCACGGGUGAGUAACACGUAUGCAACCUGCCUGUAAGCGGGGAAUAACCCGUUGAAAGACGGACUAAUACCGCAUAAAACAGGGGCACCGCAUGGUGAUAUUUGUUAAAGAAAUUCGCUGAUAGAUGGGCAUGCGUUCCAUUAGGUAGUUGGUGAGGUAACGGCUCACCAAGCCGACGAUGGAUAGGGGAACUGAGAGGUUGGUCCCCCACACUGGUACUGAGACACGGACCAGACUCCUACGGGAGGCAGCAGUGAGGAAUAUUGGUCAAUGGGCGGGAGCCUGAACCAGCCAAGUCGCGUGAAGGAAGAAGGAUCUAUGGUUCGUAAACUUCUUUUGCAGGGGAAUAAAGUGCAGGACGUGUCCUGUUUUGUAUGUACCCUGAGAAUAAGGAUCGGCUAACUCCGUGCCAGCCGCGGC